rnacentral:rRNA from 1 species
CACGUAGGGGGGCAAGCGUUGUCCGGAUUUAUUGGGCGUAAAGAGCUCGUAGGCGGUUCGCUAAGUCGGGUGUGAAACCUCCAGGCUCAACCUGGAGACGCCACCUGAUACUGGUGUGACUCGAGUCCGGUAGGGGAGCGUGGAGUUCCUGGUGUAGCGGUGAAAUGCGCAGAUAUCAGGAGGAACACCUAUUGCGAAGGCAGCUCGCUGGGACGUAACUGACGCUGAGACGCGAAAGCGUGGGGAGCAAACAGG